UUAUCCGGAUUUAUUGGGUUUAAAGGGUGCGUAGGCGGCAAGGUAAGUCAGCGGUGAAAGACCAGGGCUCAACUCUGGAAGUGCCGUUGAUACUGUCUGGCUAGAAUGAUUCCGCCGUGGGAGGAAUGAGUAGUGUAGCGGUGAAAUGCAUAGAUAUUACUCAGAACACCGAUUGCGAAGGCAUCUCACGAGGGGUUCAUUGACGCUGAGGCACGAAAGCGUGGGGAUCGAACAGGAUUAGAUACCCUGGUAGUCCACGCAGUAAACGAUGAUGGCUAACUGUCGGGCCUUCGGGUUCGGCGGCCAAGCGAAAGCGAUAAGCCAUCCACCUGGGGAGUACGACCGCAAGGUUGAAACUCAAAGGAAUUGACGGGGGCCCGCACAAGCGGAGGAACAUGUGGUUUAA
rnacentral:rRNA from 1 species